CUACCCCCCGAGCGCCAGCCCAGCUCUCGGGCCCUCCAGUGCCGGGAGAAGUGAUGCGCGGUGCGGACAGCAGGGCGCAGCCGAGCCAGGUGGAAUCGGCCCCCGAGGCCCUAGACCACGGUUCUGCAGGGGCCCUGCUGACCGAAGAGCCUAGGGACAAAGGCAGUGAACGCGACAAGCAAUGUCAAGGCGACGAGAUCAAGGAGAGGAGAUAGCACGGACUUGAACAGCCACCUCCUCAUCAGUACCAACACCUCUUCACUUACCGCACCCGAGGCCCAGAACACCCCAAACCGCAAGAAGGCAAAAAGACAAAAGCAGCCUCCACAGGAGAAAAUUUCUCGGCUCCAGAUGCUAAGCAAGUACAAGCACCUGUUAACAAAGAUCUUCAAUUAAAAAAGAAAGAGAGAGAGAGAAGAACCUCCUACUUUGGAAAGGGGAAACAUUUGGACAAAGUCUCAAGUUUCUUACGUGACACAAAGGAGUUACAAGACAUAAAAUUAGGAUAACCUCGAAAGGACUACUUUAAAAAUUUCAUACAAAAUUUGCCCACGCCAAUGUCUACACUGCACAAAGGAUUACAAUAACUGACUAUGAUUCCUGAGGAUCAGUUGUCAACCUUUUGAAAUGUCCCUUUCAGUAGAAGACAGGAGCUGGACUUUCACAACUGGAUCUUCCAACUUUCACAUCAGACAAGCCAGUCAAACACCAGACCAUGAAUAAUCUCUUUAUGAUUUUUGAAGUUGCCCCCAAGACACCCUCUGCUGAGACCCCUGCUGUUCUCAUCGUUCAUCACUGCCCAUUCCAUGUACUUCGGCUAUCCUGAGCACCCCCUUCUGUUCCCUGCUUCUGUGCCCCACACAUUCUUCCUGCCUGAACUACGCUUCUCCUAUACAUUCUCCAGGUGAUCACCUUUUCAACUCUUAAAGUGCAUCCUCUUCUAUAAAGUCUUUCCCAGAUGCA